rnacentral:lncRNA from 1 species
UUUUAAAAUAAGUUCACAAAUUUCGCAAAAUUUUAAAAUUUUGAAAAUUCAUGACAUUUGAAAAAGAAUAUGAAAAUUUCAAUUUUCAUAGAUUUAAAAAAAAUCAUGGAUUUUAAAUAAUUUCAAUGAUAUUUUUAAAAAUGUUCAUGGAUUUCAAAAGGUUCACAGUUUUUAGAAAAAUGUAUAAGUUGAGACAAGUUCAUGGAUUGGGAAAACGUUCAUGUGUUUGAAAAAAAGUUUAUGGAUUUUAAAAUCACGAAUUUAAGAAAUUAUACACGGAUUUGAAAUGAAGUUCAUGAAUUUAAGGAAAGUCCAUAAUUUUAGGAGAAAAAUGUCAAUUUAAAAACAGAAAAGAAAAUGAAACAAAGAAGGAGAAAGAGAAAACAAGCAGUAGAAAAACUGCCAGACAAAACUUAAAAAAAGAAUACAAGGUGUUGCCUUUCUGUUAGCAUCACAUCACAUGGCACUAGAUGGGUCGUGUCCCAUAAACAUUCGUAGGAUGAGUGGCAGGGGUGGAUCUAGUGUUGGUGCCGUGUGUGCCAUGGCACCUCCUCCAGAAUUGUAAAAUAAUUUUUCGUAUAUACCUAACACUAAAUAUUCAUCAAGUUUUUGUUAUUUUAAGACUAUUAUUGAGAUUAUGAUGAUGUUUAGUGUAAACGUUGAACCAUGGCACCCCAAGCCUGCGAUUCUAGGUCCGCCACUGACACGUGAGUACAUAGGUUGUUCACACGAGUCUUUUAGCACAUGAACAUCCGAAUAGUUGUAGUGGGCACAGUCGCGCAAAGCUGUCCCAGUUGGUUACUGCCACUAGACGGUACAAAGAGGUAAUAAGUUUGAAUUUCAAUAGCCGCAUCUAUGUUUUUAAUAUUAAAAACAUUAAUGGGCCGAGCCAAGGACGCUUGGAUAAGUUUAUUCACACAGUUGGGCUCCCCGAACUACGGCGUAAACGACGGGCAACCCACCCGACCAUACAUACGAAAGUGCUUUCUCAAAAAAAAAAAAAACAUACGAAAGUGUAUACAAUGAGCGAACCCUUUAUACGUUAAGCGUGGGGGUAGAUCGCUAGGUCUAGCGGACCGAGACAUAAGCGAUUCUCGGUCCACAAGCAAAGUGCCAUACAUUUUUCUCAAAAAAAGAAGAAGCAAAAUGCCAUACAUUUAUCUUUUGAUAAUUAAUUAAUUCAUACACAUAGCGAGAACAUGUUGAUAGUAAUCUGAUAAGAAAAUUCAAAGUUUAACUAUCAUUAUCAGCGCGGGCGAUUAAUCACGACCUACUGCGGCGACCAUGGGCUCCAAGUCCAUCUGACAACAGCACUUGUCUUCGGUGAAGCAGUGGGGAUUUUUUGUGAAACCAGUUUGAGCACAUAGAGGCACGCACUUGUCGCGCGUGCAUGGUACAUCAUAAACCGUAACACAGUAAUCUACAAUGGAAAAAUAUAUCAACACGACUAUAUUUUCAUAAUAUAAUUAAGAUCGUUUUGCAAGACGAAGGGAGUAGUUAAUUGUCUACCCACCUCUUUCAGCGUCACAGGAAAGCAUCACGGUGGCCAUCACCACCAUCACGGCUGCCAGGCAUGCAAUGCUUGUGUUUCUCUUGCAAAACGCCAUGACAAGAUGUAAGGCUACCACUAUCGCUGCUAUUUUUUGGAUGUUUGAUCUUCUUGUUAAUGUGUUCAAGGACAUCCCCUUCUGCUGGAGUUUAUAUAGAGGGGAGAAUUUUGGGACGGAGGGAGUAUUUAAUUACCCCGUAAUUUUAGCUGGACUUAAUGCAUUAAUUUUUUUCCAAUCUUCAAAACAUAAAAAACGAUAUUCGGUUAAUGCAGUAUUAAAUGGAUGAUUAUCACCUCUUUUGGGUAAUCACAGUGUAUCGGUUACCAUAUAUCUCUCCUAUACCUGGGCAUAUCUCGAGCCGGGCCAGGCUUCAGGCCAGGCCAAAAAAAGCCCAGUGCUAAAAACCUAGGCCCGAGAAAGCCCGACACCGUCUGUUGAAGAUGAUCUAUUUUUGGACAUGUAUAAAAUGAAUCCAACUUUUGCCAGCAUGUGGGCAUACCCAUGGUAGGAAUUCAUGUCAGAUUUAAAUGAAUUCCGACACCAUAUGCAAGUUGCACCACAUUCGGUCAUUUUUUAUCGAGAAAAGUCCAAAAAAUGCAAGAAUUGUCGAAAACUCAUAAACCUUGGCAUGCUAACUUGAAUUGAUCAUAUAAGCGCAUGAAAAAAAAUUGGAGUCAUUUUAUGGAAGCCGAAAAAUGCACUCUCGAAUGGACCCUUUUGUCCUACCCGGAUACUCUCCGUUGAAUAUAGUAUAUUUUUGGACAUGCAUUAAAUUACCCCGACUAUUGCAAGCAGGUGCGCAUGCCCAUGGUAGGCAUCCAUGUCAGAUUUGAAUGGAUUCCGACACCGUAUGCCAGUUGCGUCACGUCUGACCAUUUGUCGGCCAUUUUGCACGGAGAAAACUCCAGUAAGUACAAAUUGUCCAAAACUCAAAUAACUUGGCAUGGUGCCUUGAAUUGAUCAUAUAACCUUAUGAAAAAGAUUGAGAUUAGUUGGCGGAUGACAAAAAAUACGCUCUCAAACGGACCAUUCUGGGGCCAUUUAAGGGAUGUCGAGAAAUGACGUCCUCCCAAACGGACACUUCUCACCUACGCUGAUACACUCCGUUGAACAUGGUCUAUCUUUUGGAAAUGUAUGAAAUGACCCCAACUUUUGCCAGCAGGUGGGCAUAUACCCAUAGUAGGUAUCCAUGCUAGGUUUGCACAAUUUCCGAAUCGUAUGCAAAUUAAAUCACGUCCGGCCAUUAUCGGUCAUUUUUCCCUGAGAAAACUUCAAAAUCUCUCUCCGCUCUUGUUUGCUUGCUUGCUUCACCCGAGACGCCAGUGCUACUGGGGGCUAGCUGUGUUUAAUUAGCUAAGCAAAGCCAAGGUGGAGUGAAGGCAAGACGAGGGAGAGGUUGUGGUGGAUGAGUGAAAACAGGAUUUUCUUUGUUUUGAAAAAAGCAAAAAAAAAGAAAGAAAGAAUGAAACCCAAAACCCACAAAAACGAGGAACUACAGCAGCAAAAACCACAACGGGCCUGGCCCAUCUAUGCACUCACUUGUAUCCAAAAUGCCGGCGUUAGAUGGGCUCGGCCCAACUACCUUUUCAUUUCCCUGUUUUGAGACUCGAAAAGGGAGGGCAAGGGAAUGUGUGCGUACCCAGGAACGAACCAGCGAUCACUCUGUUGAUAGAUCCCUCCACUAACCACUACACCGCCUACGACACUCAGUUUUCAAACCUCCUUCCGCACUUCUCAUACGUACAGGAAAUGACCACUAUGUUUUCUCACUAUCAUUUUCCUUUUUCUUUUCAUUCACCUUUAGUAUUUUUAAUUUUCAGAUUCAUGAGUUUUAUUAGUACUCCCAGUUUUAGCGUAUGAAUAUUUUUUUUCAUGAACAAUGAACAUCUUUGGAGUAUACUGUAAAUAUAUUUAAAAUACAUAUUAAACAUUUUUUCAGGUACACAUGAAAGUUUUUCUCAACACAUGUUAAACAUAUUUGCAUACACGUUAAACAAUUGAUAGAUACGCGUUGAACAUUUGUUGGAUGCACGCUGAUUUUUUUCCUACACGUCGAAUAAUUUUUAAAUACAUAGUAAGCUUCUUAUAAAUGCACAGUGAACAUUUUUAAUACAUGGUGAACAAUUUUCUAUGUCACAAACAUUUUUACAGAUCGCUGGAAUAGAACAUUUUUUUGCAUAGUAAUACGUGUCUCAUUAAUAAUAUAAAGAUUCAGUUACAAGCCACGUAAACAUCGAUAUUAUAGGACUGAAAAGAUAGGAUAAUCCUAUGCAAAAAACCAGCGUCUGGCCCUCUUCACUAAGGGAAAGGAGACAGAUCGCCUCUUCACCCGAGCUCGACGCGGCUCCAUCGCUGAUCUGCAGCUUUACGGACCUCCAAAGUAGUUUGCCUGUAGCAAAACUAUUGCCGUUGAAAGAAUCAGACCGGGGCACGUGUCUCCGGACACACCAUCGAACUUCAGAACUGACACCUCCGCACGACUACGACGUCGGAGGAGGAAACCAGAACUGUCAGCCUCCAACCACAAACCCAGCACAAGAUGCACCAUCUUCCAGCUGUCACUUGCGUAGACAAGCGACUGCGCGUACUUCUAGACGACAAAACCUCCCUGCUCCACCAUGACGUCGGAGAUAACACCGCAACAACGGGGACAGAGCAGAAGGAUAGACACACCUGAUGGAGUCACUGCCGCUGCCUCGCCGACACCAUCCAUGAACCCUAACAUCGCCGAUCUGAAGGAUCGACAAACACACGAUGCCACCAAUUUCGAGACGCCGCCAUGAAGGACACCGCCGGUGUGGGAGUGGAGUUGAGACAGAUUUAUUCGUCUGGGCGCCGCUCCCACCAUCCCAACGGCGCACCACGACCUACAAAUCCAAACCCUAACUACAGAGCGGAGGAAUGGGGUCCCCCUCCCUCCUGCUACCGGAGCAGCAGCCGGAGAGAGAGGGGGAAAGCGUCCUCGCCCGUGGAGAUUGGUGGAAAAGGAUCGCCUCCCUAGUCGCCUCGUCCGUGGCAGCGGCUAGGGUAGGGAAACGCUUCGUACUCUCGUAAGGCCCCAAUACUAGUUAUACUACCUCGAAUCCUUUAUCGCUGGAAUAGAACACUUAUUAUUAAUUAAGUGAACGGGUUUUUAAACGGGUGAAUAUUGUUUCCCAAAUUGUGCAAACUUUUUUUUUAAUAUGUAACACAUAUUUUAAAUAUUUCAAAAUAUUAAUUAAUUAAUUUACAAAUGUUAUUUAUGAAUAUUUAGAAUAUAAAACGGAUUUUAGAAAAGGAAAAUAAAAAAAUAACAUUGAUGUGUACUAGCUCACCAUAGUACGAAUCUUGCUUGUGUCACCGAGGUGUUUGUAGAAAUUACUUUGAGCGAUAUAUAGACGUAUCUCUUGCAAGGUGCGAGUAUGUCUAUAGCGAGACAUAGGGCAGCGUGUGAAAGCAGCAACAAGAAAGCGACGGCCCAGCAGGACAAAAGGCCUUGAGGUAUAUUUUCCACGUUAUUAAUUUAGUUUUUAAUUUUUACUACAUUAUGAAAUAUUCAAAAGAUAUAUAUACAUAUAAUAAAAAAUAUUGAAUACAUUUUAAAGAUGAUUAAUAUUUAUAUAAAUAUGUUUCUAAUGGAUAUGAAACAUUAUCAAAUGUUCAACGAAAAAAAAUAUGCAUCAUAAUUAUUAUUCAUGUAUAUUGAAAUAAUUCUGACGUAUACCAAAAAUUGAUCAUGUAUUUAAAAAUUCUGACGUAUUUCCAUGGGUAAAUGUAGCAACCAAUACAUAUCUAUGGAAAUGUGUUAAUAAUGUAUUUAAAAAUGUUAAAUGUCUCUAAACAUGUUCCCAAUGUAUAAAAAAUGCACAAUGUGUAUGAAAAGAAGUAGACAUAAAAAAGUAAAUGCUUUAAAAAUGUUAAACAUGACUUUAAAAAUGUAAGCAGGUGUAUAAAGAAUGUUCCCGACUUAUAUAAAAAUGCAAAAUUUGUAGGAAAAAAGUUGUAAACAGUAAUAUAUGUUUGAAGAAAAUGUUAAUGAUUUACUUAAAAAAGUCUAAAAUGUGUAUUCAAAUGUUGCUAAUGUAUACAGAAAAUGUAGAAUGUUUGUGGAAAAAAGUUGACACGAAAAUAUAAAAUUUGCAAAAGAUGCUAAUUAUGUAUUUGAUUUUUUUUCGACAUGUGCUUUAUGGAUUUGAGUAAAUGUUAAACAUGUGUAAAAGAUGUUCCUGUUUUAAACGAAAACAGAAAGAAAAACAAAGAGGUAAUCAAAUAAAUCAGAAAGAAAACAACAGAGGAAAACAUAGAAAAAAUGAAAUAAAAAAAAGAAAAUAGAAGAAAAUCAGUGCAACAAAAUGAAAGCAGUGUAAUCAAGAAAGAAACCAAUAAAAAUAAAGGAACACUGAUGAAUACUAAGAAAGACUAAAGGAAGAAUAUAUGUAAAUACCAGUGAAAAUAAGAAAAAAAAACAAAGAAAAUUGGCAAGACAGGUAAAUAAAUAAAUAAAGGAAACGAGAAUUAAUAGUAAAAUGUAUACAUUAUCCAUUCAGCCCAAAACCUAUUUAGUGCCCCUACCAGGAAUCGACGCACAGUUUAUUAAUUCAGCCCAAAAACUAAAUAGCCGCACACAGUUUAGCUCGUAUGAUACAACGCGAGCAGUUUAAGAACAACAGUGCUAUUAACUGCACAUAUACAUUAGGAAAGCUUGAUUUUUUUGAAUUUUUUUAACAAACUAGAAACUUCACAGAUUUUAAUAUCAAUCACGGAUCAUUUUAAAGUUCAUUGAUGUUGAAAAAAUUUCAGCGAUUUUCAAAAAAAGUUCAUCAAUUACAAAAGUUCAUCCAUUUUGAAAAAGUUUGAUAGAUUCUCAUAAAAAGUUCACAAAUUCGAAAAAAUGUCCAUCUAUUUUCUAAAAAUCAUUCAUUUUCAAAAACGUUUCACAAAUUCAGAAAAAAGUCCAUCAAUAUUGAAAAAUGUUCAUCGAUGUAAAAAAAAUGUUCUUCAAUUCUGGAAAAAGUUCACAGAUUUAAGAGAAAAGAGAAAAAUAAAAACAAAAAAAGAACAAGACAAGAGGGAUAAAAGGAAGAGAAGGAAAAAAAAUUAUCACAGGAGGCGUUGUGGGCACCUUUAUCUAGUACAGGGAGAUCGCAGGUUUGAAUCACCGCGAACCCACCUUUCGCACUUGUUUUAGCAGAAAAAAAAAGUUAAACNNNNNNNNNNNNNNNNNNNNNNNNNNNNNNNNNNNNNNNNNNNNNNNNNNNNNNNNNNNNNNNNNNNNNNNNNNNNNNNNNNNNNNNNNNNNNNNNNNNNNNNNNNNNNNNNNNNNNNNNNNNNNNNNNNNNNNNNNNNNNNNNNNNNNNNNNNNNNNNNNNNNNNNNNNNNNNNNNNNNNNNNNNNNNNNNNNNNNNNNNNNNNNNNNNNNNNNNNNNNNNNNNNNNNNNNNNNNNNNNNNNNNNNNNNNNNNNNNNNNNNNNNNNNNNNNNNNNNNNNNNNNNNNNNNNNNNNNNNNNNNNNNNNNNNNNNNNNNNNNNNNNNNNNNNNNNNNNNNNNNNUCUUUUGGUCUUCGUUUUGCUCGUUUACUUUGCCCUUUUCUUCUUUCCUUUUUAAUUGCAUGAAAUUUUUCAAAUUCAUAUUUUUCAAGUUGCUGAACGUUUUUCAAUUCGAGAUUUUAUUUUUCAUAUUUUUGAACUUAUUCUUAAAUUUGUGAAUAACUACAACUUCAUGAUCAUUUUUAAAAAUUUUAAUUAAUUUUUUUAAACUCAUGAUUUUGUUUUUGAAUAUUUGAAGUUUUAAAACACAAGAACCUUUUCGAAUGCGUGAUAUUUUAAUUUCGUGAACAUUUUUCACACUUUAGAAUGUUUUUCUUAUUCAUCAAUCUUUUUUUCAAACCCAUGGACUCUUUUUAAAUCAUGAACUUUCGAAUCUUUGUACUAUUUUUGGAAUGUAUGUGUAGAUUUAAAUCCAUGAACAUUUUUCAAAAUCCAUGGAAUUAUUUUUUCAAAAUCCACAAAAAAAUUCAAAUUCAUAACUUUUUUCGGAAUUUCAAACUUUUUCAUGAUCAUGAACCUUUCGCAGAUGGUUGACCGGUCAACCAUUCGCCAAAGAGACCUGCAUGGCUACGACCCAAACAAUUUUGUCAUUUCGCCUUUGUUGGGUCAGGCCUAGCUUAGCAAGGCGUGAGCAUCAUAUCACUUACCAGCGCCUAGCUUAGAGAGGCGUGAGCACCAGUAUCGCUUACCAGCUCUAAAUACACGAACGAGGAGGACUCUUAGUUCAUCGAGUUAGUGGGCCAACCCAUGCGUGUGGGUGAUGAGGGGAGCUACCAUCUCGCUAUAAACGAGAUGUAGAUAUAGCUCUCAGAGUCCCUUGGAGGCUUCUCAAGCCCUAACUAGAUAUAGCUCUCAGAGUCCCUUGGAGGCUUCUCUAUAUCUAUCUAUCUAUUUAUCUAUCUACCUAUCUAUCUAUCUCUAUAUCUAUCUAUCUAUACAUUUUAAUAUCCAUAUCCAUAUCUAUAUUUAUAUCUAUAUCUGUACUAUCUCUAUCCAUCUAAAUGUUCCAUGUUUCACUUAUCUUUUCCUCACUUUUCAUCUAACAUUCCCGUAUGAUAAUUAAUCACCUUAAUUUACUUAUCUAAUAAAUUAGAUUUAGUUUACUUACCAAACUUCUCAUCAAAUAUAAGGUAAAUCAUGUGCAUAAUUGUCUUAAUAUGGGCAGGUAAAUCAUGAUCUAACGUAAUAGAUUACUCAUAUCUCAUGAUUUUAUUAAUUGUAUUAACAUAGGUAGGUAAAUCACGAUCUAUUAACAGAUUAUUUAUGUCACGGGCAUUGCAAUAGUAGAUAACAAAAGGAGAAUAUCCGGCCCGAAUAAAUUGGAUUAUCUAGCCCCAGACACCAGCAUUUCUUUCCCUUUCCAUUUUCAAAACUAAGAACAUGAAGAUGAAACAAAUACUACAAUUAGAUCAGGUUUAGUCCUAAACUUCGAACUUAUAAUAUAAAAAAGAAUUCUUAUAAAAGAAAAUAAGAAUAUUUUUGCUCCGCCUAAUAGACAAGCGGAGUAGAUUUGUCACUGAAGACUUCCCGACAAGGUCAGGCCGGUUACAACAGCGACGCGUCGUUGUCUCAUUCUAGCGACAACAACAGUCGUUCGAUUUGAUGGUCCAUGGACUUUGAUAUAUUUUUAUUAUUAUUUUAUGGGUGCUUUGUACGGAUCUGGUGAAUCUAUAUCGUAAUAGAUCUGAUCCUUUUGAAAAAAAAGCCAAGCCAACUAACUGCAGAUUGAUUGAAUCCAACACAACACCACAUAGAAACACAACACAUCACAACACAGAGAAGCCACAUGCAUCAGGCAUGCAUCGUUAUUAGUAUACAAAUUGAAGCCGCAAACACGCCGGAGCCAGGCCCUAUCUUCACCUAAACAACAUGAAUGGAUGCAUGCAUGAAGAUGAAGAUGCAAAACCGAUGGAGCCACUUUAUUUCUGGUCAUCCUAAGCUCAGCAAUCCCGCUCGCAGUAGCACUUGGGCUCGACGUAAUGCUGGUGGCAUUGCCCGCGGGGGAAGUUCUCGGUGUGGCACAUGCUGGUGCAGUUGCUGUCGCUGAAGCAGCCGCCCUUGAAUUUGUGGCUCUUUGACUGGCAUGUCCGUGCUUCUGCCACCUUCAUCGUCCCCAUCUCUACAAUGCAACCACCACAAAAAGUAAUUAAGUGCCGGUGAUUAAUUACAGUUUACAGCUGCUUGAUCGAUGGAAGGGAGAAACUCGCCGGACGUACCCAUGGCGACGAGGAGGAGCAGGAUGAGGAGGGCGGCGGGCGCCGCGGACAUGCGGCGAGGGGACGCCAUCUCUCUUCCGCACUUGCUCUCUUGCUUCACCCGAGUGUCAAAUCAGAGCUCUCUACUGCUGCUGAUGAUGAGGGGAGCUACCAUCUCGUUAUAAGUGAGAUAUAGAUAUAGCUCCCGUGUCCCUUGGGAGCUUCUCAAGCCCUAGCUAGAAAGCCCUAAAAUAAUCCUUGACUAGAAGGGAAAAAGUCCAUAGUCCAUAAUCUCUAUCUUUAUCUUUAUAUCUGUCUAUAUGUCUAUCUAUUUAUCUAUCUAUCUAUACUAUAUCUAUAUUAUACUUGGCCAUGGGCAACCCGACCCGGACGGCCCGACCCGACCUUGUCCACGGGCUGGGGUUGGGCCUGAUUUUUAGGCCCGGCAGCCGGGCUCGGUCCUGGCAUAUUCACCGUUUAAGGAAGAGGACCGGCCCGUGGCCCGAGGCCUGCUGGGUUUUUUGACUGAUGGGCCGAGCUCGGGCCUAGGUUUAUUGUGUCGGGCUUUGGUAGGCCUGGCCCGAAGACCGGCCCGACCCGACAGAUGGCCAGGUAUAAUCUAUAUCUAUCUAUCUAUAUUAUAUUUAUAUCUAUAUCUAUCUAUCUAAAGGUGUCAUGUUUCAUUUUUCUUUUCCUGACCCCCCUCGUCUAACCUCCCCAUAUGAUAAUUAAUCAUUUUAAUUUAUUUAUCUUCUGAACCAAUUUAAUUUUUUUUGAGCAUCAGUACAGACACAAGCGGUCAUAUACACGCGCAUACACUCACCUCUAUGAACGCACACACGCACGCCCUAUCCCUAUGAGCACCUUCGAAAGACUGAGCCGGCAUAUCAUCUUGAGAUUUAAUUUUAGUUUACUUACAAAACUUGUUAUCACAAUAAGGUAAAUCACGAAGAAGAUUUGAUAAACAUUUAUUACAUAAUUGUCUUAAUAUAUAUAGGUAAAUCACAAUUUAACAUAAUGGAUUAUUUACACCCCAAAAAUUUAUUUACACAAUUGUAUUAAUAGCCUCCCCUACAAAAACAAUUGUAUUAUAGACAGGUAAAUGACGAUCUGACAUAAUAGAUUAUUUAUAUCCAUUGUAACCUACUGGCAUUAUUUAUACUUCCGGUUAUCGUUCAGUCAGACUCGUGUGAAGCACUAUCUUGCUUGUCGAACAGUGGACUGGAGCCUUCUGUGUAGGGUUCUUUGGUUCGGGUGAUCAAAGAGUUAAUGUGUAUUAGGGAGUCUUAUCCUCAGAAAAUUCUUCACAGAUCAAAGAGUUAACGUGCAAUAGGGAGUUUUAUCCUCAGAAAAGUCUUCGUAGAUCAAAGAGUUAAUGUGUAUUAGGGAGUUUUAUCCUUAGAAAAUUCUUCGAGUUGCAGAUCGGCUGGCCAAAUAUAGCCGUACCGAGAGUACAACUGCUGUGUGGUUGGUCUCGACUCCACCUUGUACUAAGAAUUUGUGGCCUCUUGACUGUAACACUAUUACAUAAAAAUAAAACUCCCUUUAUCCCAAAAGAAAACCCUACAGACAUUGUCCUAGUAAAUAACAAAAGGAGAGAAGACGGCCCGAAUAAAUUGCAUUCUCUAGCCCCCUGGCAUUUCUCAAGAAACAUCUCGUUUUUUUCCCUUUCCAUUUUCAAUACUAAGAACACGUGAAGACGAAACAAAUACUACAAUUAAAUAGGUUUAGCCCUAAACUUCCACCUUAUAAAAUAAAAUAAAAAAGAAAUUUUUUGCUCCCUUAAUAGACAAGCGAAGUAGAUUUGUCUAGGCAAUCAACGACGGCAACAUGGUGAUGAUAAUUAGGGACACUUGUAUGAAGACUUCCCGUUGACAAGAUCGUUGACAAGGUCUGGCCGGCUAUGACGCAAAGACAGGGACACAUCGUCUCGUCCUAACGGGAGCAACGGUCGUUCGGGGUCCGUGGACCUUGAUAUAUUUUAUUAUUAUUUUAGAGGUGCUUUGUACGGAAUCCAGUGAAUCUUUAUCAUAAUAGAUCCGAUCCUUAUGUAAAAACAAGAGACACGCCACCGACAAAAGAAAUGGAAAAAGUCCAUCCACUUAAAACCUUGAACUCGUAAAGGUUCAGCGAAUCAAACCCUCAAGUCCAAAUCCCCGUCGUUUGCACCCUAAACUAUGCAAUCCCGGUCUAAAUCAAACCCUGGAAUCGUUUGCCAAACAGGGAUUGCAAAGGAUGGCCGGGAUUGGUGGCGGAACCAAUUUGCCGCCCGCAGCAGCGCUACGCAUGCGCGUGGGCCGGCCCAUUUCGCGGCCGCGCUGCUCGUUCACUGCUUUAUUUUUCCGUUCAUUUCUUUUGUUGACCUUUUGUUUUAUUUUAUCUUUUAGGUUUUUUCUUUCUGGUUCUUUCAUGUUCUUCCUGCCUUUUUCUUUCGUUUUCUUUUCCUUCUUCUUCCAUUAAUACAUUAUCAGGAAAUGUUUCAUUGCCAUUUUUUCAUUAAUAAUACUUUAAUACGAGGAACAAUCUGUGUUUCUUCUGUUUAUUUUUACUUUCUUCUUUUUUGUGCCUUUUCAAAUUGUUCAGCGUUCACAGUAAUGUUCAUUGUAUAUUUUCAAAUUGUUCAGCGUAUAUCACAGUAAUGUUCAUUGUGUAUUUACAAAUUGUUUAGCGUAUAUCACACAAAUGCUCAAUGUUUAUUUAAGAAAUAUUUUUUGUAUAUUACAAAAAUGUUCAAUGGUCGGAAUUAUUCAUUUUUGCAUUAAAACGCAGACGAACACCCUGCUCCCUGCUGGGCAGGCCUGCUUUAGUUUUUUUUCUGUUAAAAAAAUAAGCCGCAGGGUUGGCUCGAACCCGAGACAUUGUGUUGUCGAUAGACGGAAUUUAAAAAAUGUUCCUUAUUUUGAAAAUUUGUUCAUAAUGUUUUUUAUAUGUUGACAACUUUUAAAAAAAAUCUUUGUGAUUUCAAAAAUUGGUUCAGUUUAACAAAAAUCAAAAAUCAAAAAUGUUGGUGUGUUCUAAUUUUGUUCUGGAGUUCUAAAAAAUGUUCCUAUAUUUCAUAAAAUUCUAAAAAUGUCCGCGUUUUCAGCCCAUUUCAAAAUUGCGUGCGAAUUUUAAAGAAUGUUCGUUUUCCUAAUUUUGUUCGGGUGUUUUAAUAAAUGUGCAUGUUCCAAAAGUUUGUUUGAAUUCUCCAAAUUUAGUUUCUUAAAUGUGUUCUUAAAUUUGAAAUGUGGUCGCUUUUCAUAAACACUCAAAAAGAAUCAAAACAUUUUUUGCGUUCGAAAUUUAAAAAAAUAUUCGAAUCUGGUGUUGAUUCUUAAAGUUUUGUGUAGCUUUUCGUUAGGCAUAUAUUGCUUUGUGUUGCUAAUUAAACAGAUUCAGUUGGUAGCAGAACUGGUAGUACCAGGGUAUCUGUUGCGCCAGAUCCUUUUAGCGCUCCGCUGACGGUCGCCAGUUUUCAUGGGCCGGCCCGGUCGGAUUUAGCGUUACAGGCUCAAGGUCCGCACGGUCACCAGUUUUCAUGGGCCGGCCCUGUCGGAGUUUCGCCUGUGCGUGCGACAGAAGGAAUAAAGCCAACUUUUUUUGAGCAAACAAAAAAACAAAUGUGCUGGCCCACCAGACAAAUCCCGGUUAACUUUUGUUAGGGUUUGAUUUAGCCCGGGAUUGUAUAGUUUAGGGUGCAAACAACAGAGAUUUAGACUUGAGGGUUUGAUUCACCGAACCUCUCUACGAGUUCAAGGGUUUAAAAUGGACUUUUUCCAAAAAGAAAUUCUACCCUGCACCGGAGACCCGUGCCAUGGCUCAGCCGUGCAAUCUAUUGAAGAUGCAUGCAUGUUGGUCCCCACUCAAGUCACAAAAUAUGCCAUACGUUAGCAACCUCUCUUCUAUAUCCCUGGCCCAUUCAUAUUUUUUCAUAUAAUUCCAAAGCUUCAAUCUAUUUUAUUUUUUGAAUCACACAAUUGCUAUUUGAGUUCCUUGCGAUUAGGACUUUGAAACAAAACCGCUGUUGAAUAUAUUUUGAGAGAUUUUAAAGUCCAUAUUUCAGAACAUGAUGAAACUCUAUGAAACAUAAUAAUGCAAUAUAAUAUUCCAGAACAUGAUGAAACUCUAUGGAACAUAAUAAUGCAAUCUAGAACACGAAAAACCUGAUAAGUUUUCAGUGUAUUGACACUGAAUGAAACUUUAUGAUACGAUCUCGAACAGAUAAACCACGGUAAAAUAGUACAUAUGGUUGUUUUUCCUUUAAAAAAAUAAUAAAACAUUAUGAUAAACAUUUGAAUAUUUUAGUAUCUUUAUAUUGCAAUGCACAUGUUUGUGGAAGGAGAGUACGUACGUAGUUGAAUAGUGCACACAUAUCUGUAAAAAAAAUAGAAAUAUGUGUAGCAUUUCUGACACAACACCCAAUGGAUAUGACAGUAUAGAGAAUUAAAAAUAUAUCAAACAUCUCCGUGGAAAAAGUGACAUGGAUCCCACCCAAAAGUAUUAAGUGCUCAGCUAUGCACGGUACGUCCCGUGCAUGGUAGAAAAGCCGGUCUCAUAAGCCAACACUAACUGAAUCCAACACAACACAACACACAACACAGAGAAGCCACAUGCAUCCCGGACCGAUCUUCACCUAGAUACACGCAUGCAUGCAGAUGAAGAGGCAACACAACUUUUAUUUCUCGUCAUCCUAACACACGAACGAACAAGCGUCCAUCCGCCGACGGAAUUAGCUCAG